rnacentral:lncRNA from 10 species
AAAGAUGCUCAAUAUCAUUAGUCAUUAGGUAAAUGCAAAUAAAAACCACAAUUUGACACCAGUUUACAGUAUUAAGAUGGCUUUUAUCAAAACAAAACAAAACAAAACAAGUACUGGAGAGCAUCUGGAAACGUUGUCCGUUGCUGAUGGGAAUGAAAACAGACAGCUUGGUGGUUCCUCAAAAAGUUGAAUAUAGAAUUACUAUAUGAUCCAGCAGUUCCACUCCUAGGACUAUACCCAAAAUAAUAGAAAACAAGGGCUGGAACAGAUGCUUCUGUGUUACUGUCCAUUGCAAUAUCAUUCACUGUAGCCAAAAGAUGGAAACAACCCAAGUGUCCAUCAACAGAUGAAUGGAUAAACAAAAUACGUUAUGUACAUAAAAUGGAAUAUCACUGAGCCUAACAAAUGAAAUCCUGAUACAUGCUACAACACAGAUGAACCGUCAGGACAUUAUGCUGUGGGAAAUAAGCCAGACACAAACUAUCAAGCAAUAUAUGCGCUUCCAUUUAUAUGAGGUAUCUAGAAUGUACCAAUUCAUGGAGACUGAAAGUAGAUCAAAGGUUACCGGGGGCUGUGGGGAGGUGGAAUGGAGAGUUAUUGCUCGAUGGCUACAGAAUUCUUACCUGGGAAAAUGAAAAGUAUUGGAAAUAGUGGUGAUGGUUGCACAAUAUUGCGAAUGUAAUAAAUGUCAGUGACUUGUACACUUAAGAAUUAUUAAUGGCUGGGCACGGUGGCUCACGCCUGUAAUCCCAGCACUUUGGGAGGCCAAGACGGGCGGAUCACAAGGUCAGGAGAUCAAGACCAUCCUCGCCAACAUGGUGAAACCCCGUCUCUACUAAAAUGUAAAAAAUUAGCCGGGUGCGGUGGUGCGCACCUGUAGUCCCAGCUACUCAGGAGGCUGAGGUAGAGGAAUCGCUUGAACCCGGGAGGCGGAGGUUGCAGUGAGCUGAGAUCGUGCCAUUGCACUCCAGCCUGGCAACAGAGCAAGAUUCUGUCUCAAAAAAAAAAAUUAUUAACAUGGCAAAUUUCAUGAUAUAUACAUAUUUUACAAUUUUUAAAAUUAAUAAUGUAAUAUACCCAAAACCAUUGCAGGUACACUUUGGGUGAAUUACAUAGCAUGUGAAUUAUAUCUCAAUAAAGCUGUUUUGGGUGGGCACAGUGGCUCACAUCUGUAAUCUCAGCACUUUAGGAGGCUGAGGCAGGAGGACAACUUGAGGCCAGUAAUUUGAGACCAGCCUGGGCAAUAUAGUGAGACCCCCAUCUCUACAAAAUCUUUUAAAAAUUAGCCGGGUGUAGUGGCAAGUGCCUGUAGUCCUAGCUACUCAGGAGGCUGAGGCAGGAGGAUUGCUUGAGCCCGGGAGUUUGAGGUUACAGUGAGCUAUGAUCAUGCCGCUGCACUCCAGCCUGGGCCACAGAGCAAGACCCUGUCAAAUAAAUAAAUAAGCUGUUUUUUAAAAAUCACUGUAAUUAAAAACAAAAACUCCUGGAUACCUAAGGUUGGCAAAAUGCUGAUCGUUGUUGUGGCUGGCCGAAUUCUAAAGAUUUCAAGAUUCUAAUUUUGUACUGCUCUGAAGGGACUUUGCAGAUGGAAUUUAGAUGACUAAGUAGCUGACGUUAAAACAGGCAAAUUAUCCUGGGUUAUCCAGGCAGGCCCUUAAAAACAGAGGAGGGAGGCAGAAGAGUCAGAGAGAUAAGGCAGAAACAGAAAGCGGGAGAGGAGAGGGUGAAGGGGGAGAGGGACUAUUUACACUUCCCUUUAGGUUACAGGCACAGAGAAACCUUUAGGCUGAACUUAAAAUAUGUGAGUAGCUUUAAGCUAAACUUGAUUUAACAGGGAAAAACAGGACUUUGCAAAAAUUCUUUUAGGGAGUGUACUAUCGAGCACAUUUGAAGACCACAGGUCUCGAAAGCGGGGAAGACGGGACCCAGAGUCCCCCGCAGCAGCGUCACGGCCCAGCUCUGGUUCUCAAGUUGGGCUGCUGUUUUUCCCCUUUUUCUCAUCCGCCAGGAUGCCAGGCGCUGCUGAAAGCUGCAGCCGAAAGGAUUUAGAAUUCCUUACAACGGAGAAAGGGUCUUUGCUCAGACAACAUGGACUUAAGAGACGGAAGGGCCAAAAAGGCUUGAAAACAGGCUCGAAGAGCGGCUUCCUGGUAGCUAGAAGCUUAAGUGGGGACAGAUGAGCUUAACUGGCAAGCCUGCGUGUGUGCUCUCCAGCCCCCGUGAUUCAGUUUAAAUCUGGGCGGGUCUCCUCAAAGACAGUUCCAGAAGGGGCCACGUGAGGGCAGUAAGAGCCUCUCAAUGCCUGUUUUUGGGGGAAGAGAGAAGUGAGGGCGGAGCGCGGGGAGCGUCCCAGGCCUGGCUACCCGGAUAACUUCCCCAAAAGAAGCUAUGCUCGGGCCUUCCCAUCGUCCCACUCAAGAGCUUUCUUCAUAUUGGUCCCUUGGUUGAAUUCUGUGUUCUGAAGAGGCAAGAAUUGAGGUUGCUGCAGACCUGUAUGGAUUCGCCACCAGUAACAAGAUCUCAGAACACUGGAAAAAUCGAUGCACAAAAAAAAAAGGUUUCUGUUGCUCUAUUAGGAUGAUGUCUGAAUUUGAACCCACCACACGAGGGAAAAGAAGUCGACAGAGACUUGAGCUGUGCCGAAACAACUGUGUCCUGAUUUCCCCAGGCCCUACACAGCUCAUGGUAUACGGAAUGCAAGGGAAGAACUGCUUGCAGGCCACAGGGUGGACAAGGCCCUGGAGCUCUGCGAAACCAGGAAGGCACCAUGGAUGGCUCUGGCUUCCAGAAGUUUAAUAGGAAAAAAAAGGCAAACAAACAUUAAGACAGAAAAUGCAUGCAGCAUAUAGCGCCCACAGCUCCUUUUUCUUGGCGUGCCCCUGGUCCCUGCAGCCACUUGGCCAAGUGCAGUGUCUGUCUUCCUUCAGGUCCUCUAUUGGUGUGCACUUCUCGAGCCUAGGGCCACGUCUUUCCAUCUUUGGACAAAUGCCAGUGCCUUUUCUGACACAUUGUAAGUGCUGAAUAGAUAGUAAAUGGCUGACUGAACAAAUGCAACUUACAACUAUAUAAUGGAAGAUGUGGAAGUAAUCGGGGUGUAGUUUUUUUUUUUCUUGGAUUAUCCGUUUUCUCUCUGGGAUCCAUGGUGGUUUAUAUACAAAAUCUCAAGGUCAAUGUCUCCUUAGUUGGGGAGCCUAAGUAGGAAAAAUAGGAAAUGGCUAAAGCAUUAAGAAAAAGAUAAAGAAGUGUUACAUGUCCUUAUGAAAACACAGACACUGUAGAGAGAAAGUCUGCAGGACCCUAAUGAGCUAACUGCAAAGGGGUUAUAAAUUCUACAUGGUGUCUAUCUGCAAGCCAGGGCCACCUCAAGGUCUAAGACCCUUGACGUUGCUGUCAUAUGAAUGUGUGAAGAUAGGUUUCAAUUGAGAUUGAUUAGAAAAGGUAUCUUGCCCCAAUCGAAAAUUGGACAAAUGAUAAGAGCAGGUAAAUCACAGGAGACACAAAUGCCCCCAGAAGCUGUAAAAUGCUAGAUUGACGCCAAUCACCCAGACAGUGUUGUAACUGUCAUCAUCAGUUUUGUGACAGGUGAACAAGAUUAUUUGAAAUCGUGGUUGGAAUUAUAAUAAUAGCUAACAUUUAUAGUGUUGUCUGUCCCUGUCAACCUCUUUCCCCUGGUGUGACUUUAUCCCGCUAUAACAACAGAAAUUCAUAAAUGAAAAAAAAAUUGUUUUCUGAAAUGCAUUUACUGUUAAGCACCUCGUACUAGUUACCUCUUUUAAUAUUCAUCUGUAAGGUAGAUAUUAUUAUUCCCAUUUUAGAAAUGCUGACCCAGAUGCACAGAGAGGUUAAGUAACUUGCUCAAAGACACAUAGCUGAGUAAUGGUUGCAGAGUAUAAAUUCAGGACGAUCUCUCCCAAGAGACUGCACUGUACAAUAUUGCUUGCCAAUGAACUCUCACAGGCAGAUGAAAUAAAAAGGCAGGUAUUUUCUGAAAAGCAAGCCCAUUCUAUAGUGUUAACUCAAAGUCUGGAGUUGUUCCCCAGAUUGGUGAUACCAGUUUUAGGGUAGUGGUGAUGAUGCUGAAAUUUCCAGGGACCUUAAAACACACUUGGGAGUUGGGGGAGCCAUUUUUUCAACCUCCAUUGUAGGAGAUAAUCAAAUCUUAGUCAUCUCUUGUGUGUGACUAAUACCCAUUGCCAGGGCUGUUCCAUUCUGCCGCAGAAGCCACUGUAAUGACUAAGCCAUCAAGAUGGAUUUUUUCCUGAUGACAUUUGCUGCACAGGACUAAAUUCUAUUAAGCCAGCCUUUUCGAGUCUGGAUCUGGAGGAGUCAUUGUAUCACUGUCUUUGAAAAUUAGGCUAAAGGGGGUGGUAUCUAUUAAUAUACCGAGGCUCUAGUUUCCCUCCUCCUAGGAUGCCUGACCUCUCCGGCCCAUUCCUGUCUCUUUCUUACUGAACCUGCUGUGCCUGUAUUGUGGGAGCCAGCAUGACCUCAUCGCCCUGAGCAUGGGAGUGUUGGGCUGGGCCAGGGCCCUCUCAGUGCCCUCCCAGGCAGAGCCUCCACCCUGGGUUUUACAAUUACUCAGGGGCCACAGAAUGUGGAUGGUGCUAAAUUAACGCAGCAAACCAGAAAAAAAAAAAGCAAGGACCCACCAUUCAAUACACCAAUGCUUUUAUUUUAAAGCAGACACUAACUGAGGCCGUUUCUGACUUUGACAUCCUAUAAUUACGAUCCUGAGAAACAUUUAUUUAGACAACAACAUAAAUUAAUUGAUGACUUCUCUUGUUACUUAUACCUCACAAAGGUCAGAGAUACAGAGCCAAGAACAAUUAUCUUGUCACUAACUUAAAUUCUUUUGAGUUCUAAUUAUUGGGGUAUUUAGCCUCUUCCCAACUAAAACGCCAACCUUUUCCCCAGCUUCUGAGAAUAAAGAAAAUCUGAUUCACUCCCCUGCUUAAAACCCGUGAGUCCCUUCAUCUCCAGGGUGAAAGCCGAUCCUUUUCUCAUGGAAUAGUCCUUCAUUAUCCAUUCCCUGCCUACCUCUUUAACCUUACCUUUUAUUAUUUUUUUAAAUCGACAGAUAAUAUUGGAUGUAUUUAUCAUGUACAGCAUGAUUUUUUUCUUUGUUUGUUUGUUUGUUUUGAGACAGG